GACGAACGCUGGCGGCGUGCCUAAUACAUGCAAGUAGAACGCUGAAGAGAGGAGCUUGCUCUUCUUGGAUGAGUUGCGAACGGGUGAGUAACGCGUAGGUAACCUGCCUUGUAGCGGGGGAUAACUAUUGGAAACGAUAGCUAAUACCGCAUAACAAUGGAUGACACAUGUCAUUUAUUUGAAAGGGGCAAUUGCUCCACUACAAGAUGGACCUGCGUUGUAUUAGCUAGUGGGUGAGGUAACGGCUCACCUAGGCGACGAUACAUAGCCGACCUGAGAGGGUGAUCGGCCACACUGGGACUGAGACACGGCCCAGACUCCUACGGGAGGCAGCGGUAGGGAAUCUUCGGCAAUGGGGGCAACCCUGACCGAGCAACGCCGCGUGAGUGAAGAAGGUUUUCGGAUCGUAAAGCUCUGUUGUAAGUCAAGAACGAGUGUGAGAGUGGAAAAUUCACACUGUGACGGUAGCUUACCAGAAAGGGACGGCUAACUACGUGCCAGCAGCCGCGGUAAUACGUAGGUCCCGAGCGUUGUCCGGAUUUAUUGGGCGUAAAGCGAGCGCAGGCGGUUUGAUAAGUCUGAAGUUAAAGGCUGUGGCUCAACCAUAGUUCGCUUUGGAAACUGUCAAACUUGAGUGCAGAAGGGGAGAGUGGAAUUCCAUGUGUAGCGGUGAAAUGCGUAGAUAUAUGGAGGAACACCGGUGGGCGAAGCGGCUCUCUGGUCUGUAACUGACGCUGAGGCUCGAAAGCGUGGGGAGCGAACAGGAUUAGAUACCCUGGUAGUCCACGCCGUAAACGAUGAGUGCUAAGUGUUGGAUCCUUUCCGGGAUUCAGUGCCGCAGCUAACGCAUUAAGCACUCCGCCUGGGGAGUACGACCGCAAGGUUGAAACUCAAAGGAAUUGACGGGGGCCCGCACAAGCGGUGGAGCAUGUGGUUUAAUUCGAAGCAACGCGAAGAACCUUACCAGGUCUUGACAUCCCGAUGCUAUUUCUAGAGAUAGAAAGUUACUUCGGUACAUCGGUGACAGGUGGUGCAUGGUUGUCGUCAGCUCGUGUCGUGAGAUGUUGGGUUAAGUCCCGCAACGAGCGCAACCCCUAUUGUUAGUUGCCAUCAUUCAGUUGGGCACUCUAGCGAGACUGCCGGUAAUAAACCGGAGGAAGGUGGGGAUGACGUCAAAUCAUCAUGCCCCUUAUGACCUGGGCUACACACGUGCUACAAUGGUUGGUACAACGAGUUGCGAGUCGGUGACGGCAAGCUAAUCUCUUAAAGCCAAUCUCAGUUCGGAUUGUAGGCUGCAACUCGCCUACAUGAAGUCGGAAUCGCUAGUAAUCGCGGAUCAGCACGCCGCGGUGAAUACGUUCCCGGGCCU
rnacentral:rRNA from 1 species